CUGCUGUUGCUGUUUGACUGCAUGAAGCAUAUCAUGUCCUGGAUGAAGAGCUACAUUCAUACACUGCAGAAGGGCAUCUGCUGCAUUAGUGCAGGCCUCAAUGCCUCGAGAAGAUGUCAGAUCUCCUUCCUGAAGGGCCUUUAUGUGACCUUUAGCCAAAUCCAUGUGAUUCACUAAGAACUCUAUCUCUGACAGUAGUUUCACAUUAUUUGUGUAGCUGAGAUGGAUUAGGUAGUUACUUUCUGAAAUUUGAUCCAUUUGUUCUUUUACACUCUGAAGCAUUUCUUCAUAACUGCUUAAUUUUAUCUCAAUUUGGUCAACUUCCUUUAGAGCUUCAUCCAGCAACUUCAUCAAGAUAUUCACCUGUUUCUCUGAGGCCAUAAUUGACUGGAUAUUUGCCCCAUCUAGAACUUGCAGCUCUCUAGACAAUUUCUCUGCAAAGGCUUCAGCAUUAGAGAUCGCGUAUUCACACCCUUCCAUCAUUAUUUCAAUAUCCUGUUCUUCUCUUGCAUUUAAUUCCUGGUAUUCAUCCACCGCCUCUUCAUCACCUCCUGCUACACUUUGAUUCUCUCCACUUGGAACUGAUUCUUCCAAAAGUUGUGAACUAACAUUAAUAAAGUCAAUUUUUUUUCUAAGGUAUCUCUGAUUGAGUUUCCAGAUACAUGAAAUGAAGGUGUUCUUCUCCACUGCGCUGCU
rnacentral:lncRNA from 1 species